GUGAGGAAUAUUGCGCAAUGGGGGAAACCCUGACGCAGCAACGCCGCGUGGGUGAAGAAGGCUUUCGGGUUGUAAAGCCCUGUCAGGUGGGAAGAACCUUCUGCAGGUGAAUAGUCUGCGGAACUGACGGUACCACCAAAGGAAGCACCGGCUAACUCCGUGCCAGCAGCCGCGGUAAGACGGAGGGUGCAAGCGUUGUUCGGAAUCACUGGGCGUAAAGCGCGUGUAGGCGGUCCGAUAAGUCGAAUGUGAAAGCCCGGGGCUCAACCUCGGAAGUGCAUUCGAAACUGUCGGGCUUGAGUACGGGAGAGGGAAGUGGAAUUCCUGGUGUAGAGGUGAAAUUCGUAGAUAUCAGGAGGAACACCGGUGGCGAAGGCGGCUUCCUGGACCGAUACUGACGCUGAGACGCGAAAGCGUGGGGAGCAAACAGGAUUAGAAACCCCUGUAGUCC
rnacentral:rRNA from 1 species